GUCCCUGUAGAGCAAAAGAUAGCUCGUUGGACACCUAAAACAGAGAUCGUGGGUUCGAAUCCCACCUAGGAUG